rnacentral:rRNA from 1 species
GACGUAGGGCGCGAGCGUUGUCCGGAUUUAUUGGGCGUAAAGAGCUCGUAGGCGGCUUGUUGCGUCGGCUGUGAAAUCCCAUGGCUCAACUGUGGGCUUGCAGCCGAUACGGGCGGGCUAGAGUUCGGUAGGGGAGACUGGAAUUCCUGGUGUAGCGGUGAAAUGCGCAGAUAUCUGGAGGAACACCGGUGGCGAAGGCGGCAUCCUGGACCGACACUGACACUGAGGAGCGAAAGCCAGGGGAGCAAACGGG